rnacentral:rRNA from 1 species
UACGUAGGGGGCAAGCGUUGUCCGGAUUCAUUGGGCGUAAAGCGCACGUAGGCGGAUUGGUCAGUUAGGGGUGAAAUCCUGGAGCUCAACUCCAGAACUGCCUUUAAUACUGCCAGUCUCGAGUCCGGAAGAGGUAAGUGGAACUCCUAGUGUAGAGGUGGAAUUCGUAGAUAUUAGGAAGAACACCAGUGGCGAAGGCGGCUUACCGGUCCGGUACUGACGCUGAGGUGCGAAAGCGUGGGGAGCAAACAGG